rnacentral:rRNA from 1 species
GUAACUUCGGGAGAAGGUACGCCUCUGUUGGUGAUGAGACUUGCUCUCUGAGCUGGUGGGGGUUGCAGUGACCAGGUGGCUGCGACUGUUUACUAAAAACACAGCACUCUGCAAACACGUAAGUGGAAGUAUAGGGUGUGACGCCUGCCCGGUGCCGGAAGGUUAAUUGAUGGGGUUAGCUGCUUGCAGCGAAGCUCUUGAUCGAAGCCCCGGUAAACGGCGGCCGUAACUAUAGAUUGUUGUAGUUACGCAAAUAAACUUGGCUAUAUGCUGGAAACUCCGGUGUAUCCGCUGGUACUCGCUCAAUACAAUUGGGCAGUAACAAUCCAUGCGGUGCGGACAAUCAGCAGGAAAGGUUCCUGGUAUGACUUCACUGAACGUCAAAGAGAUUCCGGAAAAUAUUGGCUAUUACCUUGCAGGUUUUGCCGAUGGUGAAGGAAGCUUUAAUUUGUCGUUUCGGAAACGUAAAGAUUAUUCACAACCGUGGAAAAUCUCGCUUUGUUUCAAUGUUUCGCAAAAGGACAAGGUCAUUCUGGCUUUGUACAAGCGGCACUUGAAAUGCGGCACUUUGCGAUCAAGAAACGAUGGCGUUUGGUAUUACGAAGUUAAUAAUUUCACCGCGAUUCAGGAAAACGUCAUUCCGUUUUUCAAGAGAUAUGGCUUUCUGUCUGCAAAGAAGAAACGCGAUUUUCAGAAGUUUAUGAAACUCGCUGAUCUGAUAGCCGAUAAGAAACAUCUCAAGAUUGAUGGAAUUAAGCGAAUUCUUGAAAUACGCAAGACAAUGAAUGACGGAGGAGUUGGAAGACGUAAGUUUUCUGAUGCCGACAUUCUAAGACAGGUGAAACCAGGAAAAUCCUCAGAGACUACACGCCAAGCGCUUGCAAAUCGAAAAACCGAUGCCGUCUGAUUUGUAAGUAAAGAUAUAGUCCGAUCUGCAUAGCGAUAUGCAGGGUUUAAGUUCCUUUAAUUUGAUUCGUGUAUUUAAGCUACCGCUUAAACCUAACCAGCUGAUGAAAGUUUUUAGCUGGGGAUAACAUAGGAUGAACGGUCCUAAGGUAGCGAAAUUCCUUGUCGGGUAAGUAACAUUGCCCCUCUGGUUCGCGAGAAUCAGAGAUAAAAACCAGCUCAUAUCGGAGAAACCCUCCUGCGUGUGCAGCGCAAAGGGCAACCCCGAGGGAAGUCGUCAUUUCUUGUAUAGAUUUGAUUGACCCCGUAACGACUGAUCCGAAAGGUGAGGCGCGGUUUAAAGUCAUAUACUUUAGGCUGUGCAAUACGCUGGUAACUUGUCCCUUUUAUUAGAGGAAGUUAAGUACCUAUGAAGAACCCAAUGCUCGAUCCGUGGUAUGUCACUGGAUUGGCAGAGGGCGAAGGUUGUUUCCACGUCUCUUUUAGCUUUCGUAAGAAACUAAAAGUAGGCAUAGAAACCAGGCCUUCUUUUUCUAUCUCGCUGAAUCGCAGAGAUUUGAUGCUUUUGCAAGGAGUGCAUCAAUACUUCGAUUGUGGUGCGAUCCGGUAUUCCAGAUCUGACCGAACGUACAAGUACGAAGCACGUGCGGUCGCUGAUCUGAUUACCAAAGUCGUACCCCAUUUUAAGAAGUAUGCUCUGCAUGGCAGUAAGCAAGACGACUUUAGUCGAUUUGCGGAAAUCUGCCGCAGCGUGCAUGCCAAUCGUCAUCUGAACGGAGAACAUCUUCGAGGCAUAAUUAAUAGUGCUUUCGAGAUGAAUCCUUCAGGCAAGAGGAAGCAUGACAAGAGAGAUCUUCUAAGGGUAAUUGGCAAGUUAAAGGUAUAGUCUGCGCCCCAUGGAAACAUGGGGGUUAACGUGAAGUUCCGACCUGCACGAAUGGCGUAACGAUGGCCACACUGUCUCCACCCGGGACUCAGUGAAAUUGAAAUAGCUGUGAAGAUGCAGUUUACCUGCGGCUAGACGGAAAGACCCCGUGCACCUUUACUACAGCUUUGCACUGGACUUUGAGCCUAUUUGUGUAGGAUAGGUGGGAGGCUUUGAAGCGGGAACGCCAGUUCUCGUGGAGCCACCCUUGAAAUACCACCCUGGUAUGUUUGAGGUUCUAACCUGGGUCCCUUAUCGGGAUCGGGGACAGUGUAUGGUGGGUAGUUUGACUGGGGCGGUCUCCUCCUAAAGAGUAACGGAGGAGCACAAAGGUACUCUCGGCGCGGUCGGACAUCGCGCGUUGCGUGUAAAGGCAUAAGAGUGCUUGACUGCGAGAUAGACACAUCGAGCAGGAACGAAAGUUGGUCUUAGUGAUCCGGUGGUUCUGUAUGGAAGGGCCAUCGCUAAACGGAUAAAAGGUACGCCGGGGAUAACAGGCUGAUUCCUCCCAAGAGUCCACAUCGACGGAGGAGUUUGGCACCUCGAUGUCGGCUCAUCACAUCCUGGGGCUGUAGCAGGUCCCAAGGGUACGGCUGUUCGCCGUUUAAAGUGGUACGCGAGCUGGGUUUAGAACGUCGUGAGACAGUUCGGUCCCUAUCUGCCGUGGGCGUUGGAAAUUUGAAGGGAGCUGCUCCUAGUACGAGAGGACCGGAGUGGACGUAUCUCUGGUGUUCCGGUUGUCACGCCAGUGGCACUGCCGGGUAGCUAUAUACGGACGGGAUAACCGCUGAAAGCAUCUAAGCGGGAAGCCCCCCCUAAGAUAAGAUUUCCCCGGGGACUCGAUCCCCCUGAAGGGCCGUUGAAGACUACAACGUUGAUAGGCUGGGUGUGGAAGCGCAGUAAUGUGUGAAGCUAACCAGUACUAAUUGCCCGUGCGGCUUGGCCAU